CGGUUAAGUUAGAAAGGGCGCACGGUGGAUGCCUUGGCACUAGGAGCCGAUGAAGGACGGGACGAACACCGAUAUGCUUCGGGGAGCUGUAAGCAAGCUUUGAUCCGGAGAUUUCCGAAUGGGGAAACCCACCACUCGUAAUGGAGUGGUAUCCAUAUUUGAAUACAUAGGAUAUGAGAAGGCAGACCCGGGGAACUGAAACAUCUAAGUACCCGGAGGAAGAGAAAGCAAAUGCGAUUCCCUGAGUAGCGGCGAGCGAAACGGGACCAGCCCAAACCAAGAGGCUUGCCUCUUGGGGUUGUAGGACACUCUGUACGGAGUUACAAAGGAACGAGGUAGAUGAAGAGGUCUGGAAAGGCCCGCCAUAGGAGGUAACAGCCCUGUAGUCAAAACUUCGUUCUCUCCUGAGUGGAUCCUGAGUACGGCGGAACACGUGAAAUUCCGUCGGAAUCCGGGAGGACCAUCUCCCAAGGCUAAAUACUCCCUAGUGACCGAUAGUGAACCAGUACCGUGAGGGAAAGGUGAAAAGCACCCCGGAAGGGGAGUGAAAGAGAUCCUGAAACCGUGUGCCUACAAGUAGUCAGAGCCCGUUAACGGGUGAUGGCGUGCCUUUUGUAGAAUGAACCGGCGAGUUACGAUCCCGUGCAAGGUUAAGCAGAAGAUGCGGAGCCGCAGCGAAAGCGAGUCUGAAUAGGGCGAAUUGAGUACGUGGUCGUAGACCCGAAACCAGGUGAUCUACCCAUGUCCAGGGUGAAGUUCAGGUAACACUGAAUGGAGGCCCGAACCCACGCACGUUGAAAAGUGCGGGGAUGAGGUGUGGGUAGGGGUGAAAUGCCAAUCGAACCUGGAGAUAGCUGGUUCUCUCCGAAAUAGCUUUAGGGCUAGCCUCAAGGUAAGAGUCUCGGAGGUAGAGCACUGAUUGGACUAGGGGCCCCUACCGGGUUACCGAAUUCAGUCAAACUCCGAAUGCCGAUGACUUAUCCUUGGGAGUCAGACUGCGAGUGAUAAGAUCCGUAGUCGAAAGGGAAACAGCCCAGACCGCCAGCUAAGGUCCCAAAGUAUACGUUAAGUGGAAAAGGAUGUGGAGUUGCUUAGACAACCAGGAUGUUGGCUUAGAAGCAGCCACCAUUUAAAGAGUGCGUAAUAGCUCACUGGUCGAGUGACUCUGCGCCGAAAAUGUACCGGGGCUAAACGUAUCACCGAAGCUGCGGACUGUUCUUCGAACAGUGGUAGGAGAGCGUUCUAAGGGCUGUGAAGCAAGACCGGAAGGACUUGUGGAGCGCUUAGAAGUGAGAAUGCCGGUAUGAGUAGCGAAAGAGGGGUGAGAAUCCCCUCCACCGAAUGCCUAAGGUUUCCUGAGGAAGGCUCGUCCGCUCAGGGUUAGUCGGGACCUAAGCCGAGGCCGAAAGGCGUAGGCGAUGGAUAACAGGUUGAUAUUCCUGUACCACCUCCUCACCAUUUGAGCAAUGGGGGGACGCAGGAGGAUAGGGUAAGCGCGGUAUUGGAUAUCCGCGUCCAAGCAGUUAGGCUGGGAAAUAGGCAAAUCCGUUUCCCGUGAAGGCUGAGCUGUGAUGGCGAGCGAAUUAUAGUAGCGAAGUUCCUGAUUCCACACUGCCAAGAAAAGCCUCUAGCGAGGUGAGAGGUGCCCGUACCGCAAACCGACACAGGUAGGCGAGGAGAGAAUCCUAAGGUGAUCGAGAGAACUCUCGUUAAGGAACUCGGCAAAAUGACCCCGUAACUUCGGGAGAAGGGGUGCUCUGUUAGGGUGCAAGCCCGAGAGAGCCGCAGUGAAUAGGCCCAGGCGACUGUUUAGCAAAAACACAGGUCUCUGCGAAGCCGUAAGGCGAAGUAUAGGGGCUGACGCCUGCCCGGUGCUGGAAGGUUAAGAGGAGCGCUUAGCGUAAGCGAAGGUGCGAAUUGAAGCCCCAGUAAACGGCGGCCGUAACUAUAACGGUCCUAAGGUAGCGAAAUUCCUUGUCGGGUAAGUUCCGACCCGCACGAAAGGCGCAACGAUCUGGGCACUGUCUCAACGAGAGACUCGGUGAAAUUAUAGUACCUGUGAAGAUGCAGGUUACCCGCGACAGGACGGAAAGACCCCGUGGAGCUUUACUGCAGCCUGAUAUUGAAUGUUGGUACAGCUUGUACAGGAUAGGUAGGAGCCUUGGAAACCGGAGCGCCAGCUUCGGUGGAGGCAUCGGUGGGAUACUACCCUGGCUGUAUUGACCUUCUAACCCGCCGCCCUUAUCGGGCGGGGAGACAGUGUCAGGUGGGCAGUUUGACUGGGGCGGUCGCCUCCUAAAAGGUAACGGAGGCGCCCAAAGGUUCCCUCAGAAUGGUUGGAAAUCAUUCGCAGAGUGUAAAGGCACAAGGGAGCUUGACUGCGAGACCUACAAGUCGAGCAGGGACGAAAGUCGGGCUUAGUGAUCCGGUGGUUCCGCAUGGAAGGGCCAUCGCUCAACGGAUAAAAGCUACCCCGGGGAUAACAGGCUUAUCUCCCCCAAGAGUCCACAUCGACGGGGAGGUUUGGCACCUCGAUGUCGGCUCAUCGCAUCCUGGGGCUGUAGUCGGUCCCAAGGGUUGGGCUGUUCGCCCAUUAAAGCGGUACGCGAGCUGGGUUCAGAACGUCGUGAGACAGUUCGGUCCCUAUCCGUCGCGGGCGCAGGAAAUUUGAGAGGAGCUGUCCUUAGUACGAGAGGACCGGGAUGGACGCACCGCUGGUGUACCAGUUGUUCUGCCAAGGGCAUCGCUGGGUAGCUAUGUGCGGACGGGAUAAGUGCUGAAAGCAUCUAAGCAUGAAGCCCCCCUCAAGAUGAGAUUUCCCAUUCCGCAAGGAAGUAAGAUCCCUGAAAGAUGAUCAGGUUGAUAGGUCUGAGGUGGAAGUGUGGCGACACAUGGAGCUGACAGAUACUAAUCGAUCGAGGACUUAACCAAUUU
rnacentral:rRNA from 1 species